GUCGAGAAUCUUCCGCAAUGGGCGAAAGCCUGACGGAGCGACACCGCGUGCAGGACGAAGGCCUUCGGGUUGUAAACUGCUGUCACGCUCUAGGAAUCCCGCGCUGUUAACAGCGGCGCGGUUGACUAAAGCGAGAGGAAGUGGCGGCUAACUCUGUGCCAGCAGCCGCGGUAAGACAGAGGCCACGAACGUUGUUCGGAAUCACUGGGCAUAAAGCGCACGUAGGCGGCCAGGUCCGUCCGAUGUGAAAGCCCCCGGCUCAACCGGGGAAUUGCAUCGGAUACCGCCUGGCUCGAGGAUGGUUGGGGUGAGUGGAACUCCUGGUGGAGCGGUGAAAUGCGUAGAUAUCAGGAGGAACACCGGUGGCGAAAGCGGCUCACUGGACCAUUACUGACGCUGAGGUGCGAAAGCUAGGGGAGCAAACGGGAUUAGAAACCCCUGUAGUCC
rnacentral:rRNA from 1 species